rnacentral:rRNA from 1 species
UACGUAGGGUGCGAGCGUUGUCCGGAUUUAUUGGGCGUAAAGAGUUCGUAGGCGGUUUGUCGCGUCGGCCGUGAAAUCUCCACGCUUAACGUGGAGCGUGCGGUCGAUACGGGCAGACUUGAGUUCGGUAGGGGAGACUGGAAUUCCUGGUGUAGCGGUGAAAUGCGCAGAUAUCAGGAGGAACACCGAUGGCGAAGGCAGGUCUCUGGGCAGUAACUGACGCUGAGGAGCGAAAGCAUGGGGAGCGAACAGG